UACGGAGGGUGCAAGCGUUAUUCGGAAUUACUGGGCGUAAAGCGCGUGCAGGCGGGUCGGCAAGUCUGAUGUGAAAGCCCCGGGCUCAACCUGGGAAGUGCAUUGGAAACUGCCGGUCUUGAGUUCUGGAGAGGAAGGGGGAAUUCCCGGUGUAGAGGUGAAAUUCGUAGAGAUCGGGAGGAAUACCAGUGGCGAAGGCGCCCUUCUGGACGGCAACUGACGCUGAGACGCGAAAGCGUGGGGAGCAAACAGG
rnacentral:rRNA from 1 species